GUUAUUUGUCCUCCUAUUGACCCGCGUGUUCCAUCCAGCCAGAGUCUGAGUGGCAGAUGUGCAAACUUUAUCCCUCUGAAGACUGUCAGAGGGAUUUAUACUGCAGGAUGAAGGGCUUUGCCAGUCUGGAGAACACAUAAGUUACGAAAGCUCCACUUCUUUGUCCUUUUCUCUCUGGCACACAGUUCUUUUUUUAGGUAAAGUGACACAAGUGUGUACAUGAACCUCUGAACAUGAGGUUUUGUUUAGCUGUCACUAACCAGUCAAUUCGCAAGAUAAGACUUUCUAACUGGUCGAACCAGUUCUAUUCAGUGCUUAGUCUUAAGCGUGACCAGCUGCUGAUAGAGAACAGGUUUUGUACCUUACCGUUCUCACAGGUCCUCUUCUGGAUGACAAACACUGUGUAAAUGGAAAGUCACCUGGUUUAUUCUGCAGAGUGCAACUCCAAUCAAAGAAUGAUUCCUUUUCUCCAACAGGCUGUUUAAGGAGGAGUAGAAGUCUGCAAAGUAAAAAUAUAUACGUACAUGUAUUCAAAUAUUCCUCCAGAUCUGAAAGAGGUCGUGCUCCAACAGUACAAAUAUUUCCUGAUAAGGGGGGCGGUACCCUGAUGGGCUCUGUGGAGUCCAGGUGUGGCUUUGCAUAAAAGGAGCAGCAGGUGUCUGUGUUUGAGGAUCUGCUGUCCAGCACACAAGAGACAUUUAAUUUCCUGCCGGAGGUCUUUGGAGAUGUCUGGACGAGGGGGCCACUGUAAUCGAGGGGGGCGUGGACAUGGGCAUGGACAUGGUCAUGGUCAUGGACAUGAACAGUGCCAAGGACAUGGUCAUGGACAUGGUCAUGGACAUGGUCCAGGCCCAAAGUGCAGGCGCAGGCCCAAGAGAGGUCACAAGCAUCUCAAGUGUCACAAGAAGGGAAAGGACUGUCAUGGGUCCUCCAGCAGCUCCUGCAGCAGCAGCAGUGAUUCUGACUAGAUGACGACUCCUGGUUUGGGAAAGAAGACGAGACCAAAACCACCAAAACCUUUGGAAACCGUUGGAGCUGAAAAGUUUCUUUGCAACUCAUAAGGAUGUCACAACAAAUCCAGUCUAAAUGUAUUGUUCUCCUUGGUUUUAUGGCUUUGUACCAAAUACUAGAAAAUAAAGUUCA